UAAAACAAAGGAAUUAGUAUGAUUCAUCAACUGUUACUAACUUUAGGUCCAUUAAGCCACACCUCCAUCCAGGACUGAUUGACAGCUGACAUUCUGUCUGUGGAUAAAAGCUGUGCAAAUAAAAGAUUAUGCUUCAUUUACCACCAGUACCACUCUGGAGACUCUAUUACAGAAGCUCUUCAGCCAGAGGAAUACCAUUCAGUGAAUUUAAAUCCCAUUUCACUUUCUUCAGCAUGAGGCACAUUAGACUACAUUAUACCGGCGCUGCAUUCUUCUUACUGCUGUUCUCUGCAACAGGUGCUGAGCCCUACAGUCUUUUAAAAGUCCUCGAGGGCCUCCAGGCAGAGCCACAGAACUACCCUUCACCCCUGUACUCAUUCUCCCUCUGCAUGGAGAUCAACAACCGCGUCUUCAGCGACGCUCUCCUCAACUCAAGCUCACAGCAGUACAAGCGCAUGUAUGCAGAGGUUGCUGGAGCUCUGGACAUCGCCUUUAACUGCUCUGACUGUGACACAAGAGAAACCUACAGAGGAGUGACGAACAUACAGUUCAGUAACGGGUCUGUGAUCGCAAAUUGUACCAUCCAGUUCCAGACCAUUUUUAUCAACCAUGUUGUGAUCAAACAUUUGUUCUUGAGGGCUGUAGAUAACACUCAGCUGAAUGGUCUUGAAGUGAACAGAAAGUACACUGAUGAAAUAGUCACACCUAUCUGGCUUUUUCCAAAAUCCUCAACUCCGAUGGCAGAAACUAGUGUUCAGGGGCUUCCUGGGUGGGCCAUUGCAUUGUUAGUGCUGGCAUGCAUCAUCAUCCUGCUUCUCUUCAUCAUCUUACUACUGGUAAAUGCUUUAUACAUUUACAUUUUAUAAACUCACAGG
ensembl:lncRNA